AACGAUGUAUACUUGAUGUUGGGGAUUUAACCCCUCAGUAUCGUAGCUAAUGCGAUAAGUAUACCGCCUGGGGACUACGGUCGCAAGGCUGAAACUCAAAAGAAUUGACGGGGCCCGCACAAGCGGUGGAACAUGUGGUUUAAUUCGAUGCAACGCGAAGAACCUUACCUGGGUUUGAAAUCAUAAUGACCGUCUGUGAAAGCAGACUUUCCUUUCGAGGACAUUAUGACAGGUGGUGCAUGGCUGUCGUCAGCUCGUGUCGUGAGAUGUUGGGUUAAGUCCCGUAACGAGCGCAACCCUUGUUCUUAGUUACCAGCGGGUAAUGCCGGGGACUCUAAGGAGACUGCCUGCGAUGAGCAGGAGGAAGGUGGGGUUGACGUCAAGUCCGCAUGGCCCUUAUGCCCUGGGCUGCACACGUGCUACAAUGGUCGGUACAACGGGCAGCAAAAUCGCGAGGUGGAGCAAAUCCCUAAAAGCCGGCCCCAGUUCGGAUUGGAGUCUGCAACUCGACUCCAUGAAUGCAGGAAUCGCUAGUAAUCGCGGAUCAGAAUGCCGCGCUGAAUACGUUCCCGGGCCUUGUACACACUGCCCGUCAAGCCAUGAAAGCCGGU
rnacentral:rRNA from 1 species